rnacentral:rRNA from 1 species
GACGAACGCUGGCGGCGUGCCUAACACAUGCCAGUCGAACGAAACGUUCCGGCCUUGGGGCGCAUGGCUGCGUGAGCCCUGGGGAGCUUCCCCUUGGUUCCGAAUAACUCCCCGAAAGGGGUGCUCAUACCAGAUAAUGUCUUCCCACCAAAGAUUUAUUGCCUUGGGAUGGGCCCGCGUUGGAUUAGCUUGUUGGUAGGGUAAAAGCAUACCAAGGCGACGAUUCAUAGCUGGUUUGAGAGGAUGAUCAGCCACACUGGGACUGAGACACGGCCCAGACUCCUACGGGAGGCAGCAGUGGGGAAUAUUGGACAAGGGGCGAAAGCCUGAUCCAGCAAUGCCGGGUGAGUGAUGAAGGCCUUAGGGUUGUAAAGCUCUUUUACCCGGGAUGAUAAUGACAGUACCGGGAGAAUAAGCUCCGGCUAACUCCGUG